rnacentral:lncRNA from 1 species
AUGAAGCAGAAUCUUGCACAUCACAGGACAAAAAGCAGGAGCAAAAAACAAAGGAGUUCUUGUUUGUUUGUUUUGAGACAGAGUUCAGCUCUGUCACCAGGCUGCAGUGCAGUGGCUCAGUGUCGGCUCACUGCAAACUCCACCUCCCAGGAUCAAGUGAUUCUCCUGCCUCAACUUCUGGGUAGCUGGGAGCACAGGUGUGUGCCACUACAUUCAGGUAAUUUUUGGAAUUUUAGCAGAGACAGGGUUUCACCAUGUCAGCCAAGAUGGUCUUGAUUUCUUGACCUUGAUUUCUUGCCUUGGCCCCCAAAAGUGCUGGGAUUACAGGCAUUA